GGGUGCGGGCCUUCUCACCCCCGCGAACGUGACGGGGGUCAUCACCACCAUCACUGAGCUUCACGACGACGUCCCAUGCGCCGUACACUGCAGGAAUAACGCACAGUGCGCCAGCUUCUCUGUCAACGGCACGGGAUGUAUCCUCUACAGCGCGGGGGUGAAUUUCGCCACCUCCGUCCCCGUGGGCUUCUUCCCCGUAGUGUGAACCGUAGUCUGAACCGUGAACCCCUGAGGUAGCGUGGCAAGUCCCGCGUGAAUGGGCUUCGUUCAUUCAUCACCGACGUAAUGUUGUAAUUCACUAUUCAGUAAAUGUGAAUAAAAA